rnacentral:rRNA from 1 species
GGACUACCCGGGUAUCUAAUCCUGUUCGCUCCCCACGCUUUCGCUCCUCAGCGUCAGUUACAGCCCAGAGACCUGCCUUCGCCAUCGGUGUUCCUCCUGAUAUCUGCGCAUUUCACCGCUACACCAGGAAUUCCAGUCUCCCCUACUGCACUCCAGCCUGCCCGUACCCACUGCAGACCCGGGGUUGAGCCCCGGGCUUUCACAGCAGACGCGACAAACCGCCUACGAGCUCUUUACGCCCAAUAAUUCCGGAUAACGCUCGCGCCCUACGUAUUACCGCGGCUGCUGGCAC